GCCCUUGAAAGAUAGUAGUAA
rnacentral:tRNA from 1 species